rnacentral:sRNA from 1 species
GAAAGCAAACAAGAGAGAAAGAAGAAAGAAAAUGACCUAGGACCCUCGGAAAGCACCUUAAGGUGGGACCACAUAGGAACAGCUCUGAGAAGAUGGUGUUCUAGAUGGAGCACAGGGACCGGGAUAGAGAUGUUACAGGGGAACUGUGGAGGAAAGAGCCUCCUGGUGGAAGGGUUCAGAGGUGGGACGCAGCGAGGCUGCAUGGGCGAGAGGUGAUAGCUUAGCUCGGCAGAACCACAAACUCUGUUUUAGGCGGAGCAAAAGUGAGGGGCACCACAGGCGAACAGGCAAUUUCUUGCAGCCACCACCGAGGCCCCGAAAAGCACUGGUCGUCAGGGAGUUCCUCCCCUUGGCCCCCAGCCUGUGCCAGCCCUGGCCCGGCUGCCACACCUCUGUUUCCUAGGCUGGGGACCCAGCUUGUCUCUCCUUGUUUCUUCCCACUGCACUGUGGUGCUUCAGUGGCCACCAGCCUCGUCAGAUACACCAGCAUCUUUCUGUACCUCCUCCCUUUGGUGACCUGAAGUCACUGUGACAGUUCUCCAGGAAGGAGGAGCUUCCUACUUUUGAGUUUCUCUGUGGAAAUAAAACAUGAAUCUUGUUUCCCUA